rnacentral:rRNA from 1 species
AGUCCUAUAACGAGCGCAACCCCUAUGCUUAGUUGCCAGCACGUAAUGGUGGGAACUCUAAGCAGACUGCCUGCGAAAGCAGUGAGGAAGGAGGGGAUGAGGUCAAGUCAUCAUGGCUCUUACGUCUAGGGCUACACACGUGCUACAAUGGCGUGUACAACGGGUCGCUACCUGGUAACGGGAUGCCAAUCCCUAAAAGCACGUCUCAGUUCGGAUUGAGGUCCGCAAUUCGACCUCAUGAAGCUGGAAUCGCUAGUAAUCGCGCAUCAGAAUGGCGCGGUGAAUACGUUCUCGGACCUU